AAGAUGUAAAUUGUUUUAGUAACAGACUUAUGGGAAAAAUGUAGGCACUGAUUUGCAGUCUGUUAAUGAAUAACAAACUUUUAUCUAACUAUCUAUCUGUACAAUCUUAAAUCUCAUUAGGAUUACCUAUCUGGUGCUAUUUGUCUAACACAGGUCUGGAUGAUGUGGAUAUCUACACAUUUUCAGCUGAAGAAAUGGAAAUAGCAUAUUAAGAACCAAAUUCCAUAGGAAAAAAAACAAUUAAGAACAAACCAACAAAAAAGGAAGUGAGCAGAGACACUCUUGUUCAUGAGAGGCUGGAGAGUCUCUCCAGCUUUAGUCAAGCAGGCUGCAAACAAUUCCUGCAUGGAAAACAUUUAAAAAAAUCAGCAAUUAAGGAGACAGAUGAGUUUUGUGGAGUGAUUCCCCUGUGAAAGAGAGAACGUUGUUUGGAGAAGAGUAAUAGGUGAUGGAAAAUGAUGACCAAGGGAGUUAUGGCAGCAUCCAAAAUGUAAGCCAUGAAUAUUUCCCUAGUGGAAGAAGAGAGAAUCCUGCAGGAAACCUUACUUGAAAUAAACAGAAUUGUUAAGCAGCAGAGCUUGUGCUUUCAGAUGCGACAGGACCUCAUUUCAUUUAAGGUACCCUAACAACAUGAAUUAUUUCCUCUUGUUGAUAUUGCGAUAAGGAAUUUCUUUCUACCAGUUGGUUAAAAUUGAGUUCACAAUUAGAAGCACACACUUACUAAUUUAAUGUAUUUAAACACUUAUAGUUUAAUGUGUUUAUUUAGGAACUAUGGGUAGGCAUACUUAAUUGCUUCAUUUGUUUUUCCAUCUUGAAUACCAGUUGUGCCUAUGGUCCUGUAAUGAACUCUGUACGAGGAGAUGGCAGGACAGUUCCAUUGUUUCAUGCUAUAAAUUUCAAAAUGAAAGGGCCUUUUCCCAUAGCUGCUGUGAGUAGCUGACACUGAUGUUCUCCACACAGCUCAGUCCAGUCUGGGAAGUUUUCAAUUCUGGUUCUAAAAAUAGUAUUGAAUGUAAGAGUUUUGCAGGCAGGUUGGGCCAUAGGGUGGUGACAAUGUAGGUCCCUGUCCCAUCUCUCCUUGCCUUGCUGCCUUACAGGUGCCCAGUGAACGCUGCUGUCACUUAGCUUGAGAACCGUGUCUCCUUAUAGCUGAAGUAGAAACUGAUGCUAUUUAUGUUCGUUUUAACUCCAUUCCAAUCUGUUUGCAUUAUAUUGAACAUUUGCUUCAACAGCCGUUGUUUUUUCCCUGUUGAAGCGGAGCAGAUUGUGCUUGGUAU
rnacentral:lncRNA from 1 species